UGGCGGCAUAGCCAAGUGGUAAGGCAAAGGAUUGCAAAUUCUCUAUUCCCCAGUUCAAAUCUGGGUGCCGCC
rnacentral:tRNA from 1 species